rnacentral:sRNA from 1 species
CCAUGCUGCGGUGCUUCCACUCCAAGGGGGUGAAUUACGUCAACUUCAGUGCAACUGGAAAGCUCCUGGUGUCGGUGGGAGUGGACCCUGAGCACACCAUCACUGUCUGGCGAUGGCAGGAAGGUGCCAAGGUUGCCAGCCGAGGGGGUCACCUGGAGCGCAUAUUUGUGGUGGAAUUUCGCCCCGACUCAGACACGCAGUUUGUAUCUGUCGGGGUCAAACAUAUGAAGUUCUGGACCCUGGCAGGCAGCGCCUUGCUUUACAAGAAAGGGGUCAUCGGGUCCCUGGGAGCUGCCAAAAUGCAGACGAUGCUCUCCGUGGCCUUCGGUGCUAACAACCUCACUUUCACGGGUGCCAUCAAUGGAGACGUCUACGUCUGGAAGGACCACUUCCUCAUCCGGCUGGUAGCCAAGGCUCACACAGGCCCCGUGUUCACAAUGUACACAACCCUUCGGGAUGGACUCAUAGUGACCGGCGGAAAAGAGCGGCCGACCAAAGAAGGAGGUGCUGUAAAAUUGUGGGACCAGGAGAUGAAGCGCUGCCGGGCCUUUCAGCUGGAGACGGGGCAGCUGGUGGAGUGUGUGCGCUCCGUGUGCCGUGGAAAAGGAAAAAUCUUAGUGGGAACCAAAGACGGAGAAAUAAUUGAAGUUGGUGAAAAAAAUGCUGCUUCUAACAUCCUGAUUGAUGGCCACAUGGAAGGGGAGAUCUGGGGCCUGGCCACUCACCCUUCCAAGGACCUCUUCAUCUCUGCCAGCAACGAUGGCACAGCCCGGAUCUGGGACCUGGCUGACAAGAAGCUGUUAAACAAGGUGAGCUUGGGCCACGCGGCCAGGUGUGCAGCCUACAGCCCUGAUGGGGAGAUGGUGGCCAUUGGCAUGAAGAAUGGAGAGUUUGUCAUCUUGUUGGUGAACAGCCUGAAAGUUUGGGGGAAAAAGCGAGACCGGAAAUCUGCUAUCCAAGAUAUCAGAAUCAGCCCAGACAACCGAUUCUUAGCCGUUGGUUCUUCUGAACACACAGUUGACUUCUAUGACCUCACUCAGGGCACAAAUCUGAACCGCAUUGGCUACUGCAAAGAUAUCCCAAGCUUUGUCAUUCAGAUGGAUUUUUCUGCGGAUGGCAAAUACAUUCAGAUGCAGCUGAGGUUGCUGGUCAGGAACCACACUCAGAUAACCGCUGUCUUAGGACUCUGGAAAAUAGCAAGAAAAUGGAUGAGAAGAAAGAUGGGAAAAUGGCCUGCUGGUGUUGUCAUGGGCUGGCCAUAGGCUUUGCAGCCUGGAGCUGAGCUUGGGUGUCAACAGGUGCCUAUAAGCGCCAGGUGCAUGAGGUCCCCCUGGGGAAGCAGGUAUCGGAAGCCAUGGUCAUUGAGAAGAUCACCUGGGCCUCCUGGACAAGGUGACUGACUGGAAGAAAAAACUUGAGGAAAAGGUCACAAGGGAGUCUCUUGUCUCACUCAGGCUCAGCCUCCAAGUUUGUGCAGGAUCUGAAGAAGCUGAGAAAUGGAGCUGUCUUUUCUUUUGGGGUGUCCUGGGAGAUGAAGUCAUUGGAAUCUGGCCACGAAAUGCAGACAAGGCUGAUGUCAACUGCGCAUGCGUGACCCAUGCUGGCCUGAACAUUGUCACAGGAGAUGACUUUGGGCUGGUGAAGCUCUUUGAUUUUCCGUGCACAGAAAAAUUUGCCAAACAUAAGCGAUACUUUGGUCACUCGGCUCACGUGACGAACAUCCGUUUCUCUUAUGAUGACAAGUAUGUGGUCAGCACUGGAGGAGACGACUGCAGUGUAUUUGUGUGGCGAUGUCUGUAAAAUGCCAGAAGCCUCUUAUGUUAUUGCUGCUGCUGCUACCAGCCAGCAACUGCAGAGGCCAUGCUGAGGUGCCUCCUUGCCACCAGCCGUUGGGAAAUGCCUACCAUGCUGCCCCGGACGCACAAGCUCAAAACGCUGCGGAAGUUACAAAACUGCUCCCAUAAUCUGGACUCUCCAAAACUGUGCUGCCACGAAGGAAGGUCAAGUUGUAAAAUGUUAAGACUGCUUGCCUCUGUUCCUGAGACUAAACACUAUACAUACUAACUACAUUGACAAAGAAAUCCUAUCUGAUAAUGUAGCCCGCUGACAAAUUUUGAAGCCUCGGUUACCCUAACCAAUAUGUAGCUUUUAAUUUGCAUCAAAACUUUUACAAAGAUGUUUUGCUAUUGUUUCUAUAUACUUCAAGAAUGUUCAUUUUUACAAAUAAGUUGAACAAGACAGCCUAAGUUAGAUGCACCGAAGUACUAGAAAUAUUGCUAGCCUCUGUUCUCCAGUUUAGCUUUCAAAACCAAAUGAGCCAUGUAUAAAGGAGUUGAGAAACUUAAUUUUUUAAUGUUUCAUUUGCAGAGUUUUAUAUCCAUUAAGUGCCUUUGAAAGUUUCCAGUUGUGUGGGCUGCUGUCUCACCUCCCACCAGUUUCUCCUUUCUCCAUAUGGUGCUAAAACUUCAAAGCUGAGGAGGGCUGCAGGACCCUUAGCAGAUUCAGUGUGUCACCCUUGUUCUGCGUUCAUGCCAAGGCUUCCUAAAUGAAAGACACCGGUUACCUGCUAUGGGAAGGUGAGCAGCAAAGGAACUGAGGUUCGGGAAAGGGUAGAGUUAUGGGUUUUCAUUGUUUCAUGCCAAACCCACAAAAUCCAAAAUAGAAUUCAAGUUAAACAAACUUCUACUACAAAAUGGAAGGGGAAAAAGGCUCAGGAAGGUCCAGGAGAAUGAGCUGACUUAUCUCGUUAAAUCUUAAGAUAAAUGAGGUAACCCAAGGCUGCACCUUGGUGUACCACCCUGGUACACCAGGAGUUGAGGUGACUUCAUUGAUUGCUUCAGGCGAACUAUAUAGGUCAAGUCCAGAUGAUAAAAAAAUAUCUGCAGAACAAAUUGUAAACCCAAGGAAUAGCUGGUAAAUCAAAAUUAUAAAGUGAGUUAGAGUUCCUUGGAGUUGGUUGUAUGACAGAAUAUGACUUGGACAAUCUUUGCCAGAAGCCAUCCGUAAGCCCCUCAGUCACAC